rnacentral:tRNA from 2 species
GGGCUCAUAGGUAAGUGGUAUACCGGCGCAUUCGCAUUGCGCAGUCCCGAGUUCGAUUCUCGGUGAGUCCA